UGGGAAGGGCCUUCACACAGAGGCCCGCCCCCAUCUCGCCCCUCCUCGCGGUGCUCCCGACCGCGCAGAGGUCUCUGGGAAAUGUAGUUUUCUUCUGCCUGGAGCUCUGCGCGGGGCGACGCAGCUGGGCUGCAACCCGCUCCUCCAGGGACGGGUAGUGUGACGUUUGGGGUCAGAACGCACCACUUUCGGGCACCCCCACUUAAGAUUGCUCAACUGCUUUGAGCUCAGAAAGCAAGGUGUAAAGGUGGGGGAAAAGCACUUUCGUCUCAGAAUUACAGCUACUGGUAUGGAAAAGCUGGGGCCCUUCGCUGGUGUGAGUCCUAAGGAUGUCUAAAUGGAACGUGCAUCUGCUACAGGCUCGCACUUUCCUUUAUUGCGCUUCCCAGACUUCCUGCUGUUGUAAGCAACCACUACAGAUUUCUCAGAAGUACUGUGGCAAAUAAAAAUGAUUGAGAAUCAUUAUACAUUUUCUAUUCUACUAGAGAGACAGUUUAAAAUAAAAUAGAAUGCUAAGACCACCAUGCAGUGGAAAAGCUCCAUCUACCAGAAGAUGAGAAGCCAUGUGGAGAACUAAGACUUCCCAGCCAAUAGCCAGCACCAACUGCCAGACACGCAACUGAAUAGAUGAAGUCAUUAAUGGAAACCAGGAACACUGAAGAAACAGUGAACAAUUAAAGUACUUUGAGUUAUCAAAGUGAGAUGUCCUGCAGGUAGCUAGACGAUACUGGCUGGUAAUUCAGGAGAGCUGCU
rnacentral:lncRNA from 1 species